rnacentral:rRNA from 1 species
UGGGGAAUUUUGGACAAUGGGCGAAAGCCUGAUCCAGCAAUGCCGCGUGUGUGAAGAAGGCCUUCGGGUUGUAAAGCACUUUUGUCCGGAAAGAAAUCCUUGGCUCUAAUACAGUCGGGGGAUGACGGUACCGGAAGAAUAAGCACCGGCUAACUACGUGCCAGCAGCCGCGGUAAUACGUAGGGUGCAAGCGUUAAUCGGAAUUACUGGGCGUAAGCGUGCGCAGGCGGUUUGCUAAGACCGAUGUGAAAUCCCCGGGCUCAACCUGGGAACUGCAUUGGUGACUGGCAGGCUAGAGUAUGGCAGAGGGGGGUAGAAUUCCACGUGUAGCAGUGAAAUGCGUAGAGAUGUGGAGGAAUACCGAUGGCGAAGGCAGCCCCCUGGGCCAAUACUGACGCUCAUGCACGAAAGCGUGGGGAGCAAACAGGAUUAGAUACCCUGGUAGUCCACGCCCUAAACGAUGUCAACU